rnacentral:rRNA from 1 species
UACAGAGGUCCCAAGCGUUGUUCGGAUUCACUGGGCGUAAAGGGUGCGUAGGUGGUGAGGUAAGUCGGAUGUGAAAGCUCGGAGCUCAACUCCGAAAUGGCAUUGGAAACGACCUUGCUCGAGGGUUGGAGGGGGGACUGGAAUACUUGGUGUAGCAGUGAAAUGCGUAGAUAUCAAGUGGAACACCAGUGGCGAAGGCGAGUCCCUGGACAACUCCUGACACUGAGGCACGAAAGCGUGGGGAGCAAACAGG